rnacentral:rRNA from 1 species
AUUGAACGCUGGCGGCAUGCUUUACACAUGCAAGUCGAACGGCAGCACGGGUGCUUGCACCUGGUGGCGAGUGGCGAACGGGUGAGUAAUGCAUCGGAACGUGCCCAUGAGUGGGGGAUAGCCCGGCGAAAGCCGGAUUAAUACCGCAUACGCCCUUAGGGGGGAAAGCGGGGGGAUCUUCGGACCUCGCGCUAUUGGAGCGGCCGAUGUCGGAUUAGCUAGUAGGUGAGGUAAAGGCUCACCUAGGCGACGAUCCGUAGCUGGUCUGAGAGGAUGAUCAGCCACACUGGGACUGAGACACGGCCCAGACUCCUACGGGAGGCAGCAGUGGGGAAUUUUGGACAAUGGGCGCAAGCCUGAUCCAGCCAUGCCGCGUGAGUGAAGAAGGCCUUCGGUUGUAA